UUUUUUUUAAUCAAUUUUGCUGAUCACACUUGAUUUUCACUUUUUUAGGUUCAAAUUUGGAUAAUAUAGGAAUUGGGAUUUGGAUGUGACCCAAUUUCAUGUCAUUUUAUAAGUCAGACCAAUUUUAUGUCAUUUAAUAAGUCAGCCCAAUCAUCCAAUAUCAAAUGUAGAAUUUGAAAUCCUCACUUCACCAAUUCAUUGAAGCGUAUUUGUGUAAUCCAUUGGAAUGGUUUCUAAGCUUUCUUUCCUCCAUUGAAGCUGCUUUUGAGACUUUGUUCUGCUGUAAUGACGAGUUCAGUUUAUACUGUUUGGGAGAGAAAUCCAACUAGGCAGUAUGAAAGGUUCAAGGAAUGAGGAUGAAUGAUCUAAAAGAAAUGAACAAAGGGGAAAGGGAGAAGAAGAGACGAAAUGAUACGCAGAAAACCCAGGAAUAAGGGUAAAAACUGCGGAUGGCUAUGAGUCCACCAAUCCACUAGGUUGAGAAUUGAAUACAAGUACAAUAUAGGUUUAGAAUAAAUUUGUAACGUAGCUAAUGAUUGCUAAUUGCUAUGGAAUGUAAAGCUAAGAGAUUGUUUGUUCCCCGUUUACAAGUAUUUUUCCUAUAUUUAUUGUAGAAAAUCCUCUUGAAGCUCCCUUCCGGAAUCCGGGGCUAGUUGUCAGAUUCUGUUUGAGAUUUAUGCCACAUUCUCCAUGCUUUAUCCAUUGUAGUUUGACUUGUUCC